rnacentral:rRNA from 1 species
UGAACGCUAGCGGCAGGCUUAACACAUGCAAGUCGAGGGGCAGCAUACCCAGCAAUGGGUGAUGGCGACCGGCGGAAGGGUGCGUAACGCGUGAGCAACAUACCCUAUACAGGGGGAUAAGCCAGGGAAACUUGGUCUAAUAUCCCAUAGGAAAUAGAUAAGGCAUCUUGUUUAUUUUAAAGCUUCGGUGGUAUAGGAUUGGCUCGCGUGACAUUAGCUAGAUGGAGGGGUAACGGCCCACCAUGGCAAUGAUGUCUAGGGGUUCUGAGAGGAAGAUCCCCCACACUGGGACUGAGACACGGCCCAGACUCCUACGGGAGGCAGCAGUGAGGAAUAUUGGACAAUGGAUGGAAAUCUGAUCCAGCCAUGCCGCGUGCAGGAAGAACCGGCCCUAUGGGUUGUAAACUGCUUUUAUACGGGAGCAAUAAGGUCUAUGCAUAGAUUGAUGAGAGUACCGUAUGAAUAAGCAUCGGCUAACUCCGUGCCAGCAGCGGC